rnacentral:lncRNA from 1 species
UUUUGUUGUUUUCGAUCCAUUAUAGUGAUUAUUCUUUCUGAUGCUGAAAUUGUUCCAUUUUUUACUUCAUCCAGUUGGUUCCUGUAUCUGAUAAGAUUCAAAAAGUCUUUGAUAGUUUCCUUCCUCCCUUUUUUUUCUUUCUAUUUAUUUAAAUUUUAAAGACUUGUUUCCCAGUCAGUGGCUCCUUAUGGACCCAAGUUGUCUUACUUUCUGACACAAAGGAUAUCCCUGGAACAUCUUGUACAUUUUCUUUUCUUUCUUUUUUUUUUUUUUUUAGAUGGAGUCUCGCCCUGUCACCCAGGCUGGAGUGUCAUCUCGGCUCACUGCAACCUCCGCCUCCCAGGUUCAAGCGAUUCUCCUGCCUCAGUCUCCCAAGUAGCUGGGAUUACAGGCAUGCAUCACCACGCCUUGCUAAGUUGUUGUAUCUUUAGAAGAGAUGGGGUUUCACCAUGUCGGCCAGGAGCUUAAAAUCAAUGUUUGCCAUAAUCAUCAUCAUUGGGAAGUGACCACUACAUUCUCUCAUCCAUCCAUUCAUCUAUUAGCAUUUAUUAAGAAUCUACUACAUCUCUGAGACGUUCUUCACAGCUGUACAGCAGUCUCUCCUACAAUGCCCCUCAGCAUGUUGAAAGGAACUGCGCUUCUAAAAUCCGCAGUAAAGAAUCUGAAUCCUUUGACCUGUGAAAUUUCCCACAAUCUGGAUGUUGCUGAUGAAGUAUUCUCGGUGGAGUUCAACGUGUUCUGGACUUCCUAUGAUGUAGCAGCUGGAUCCCAAGGAUGA